AGAGUUUGAUCCUGGCUCAGACGACGCGGCGGCAGGCUUAACACAUGCAAGUCGAGCGCCCCGCAAGGGGAGCGGCAGACGGGUGAGUAACGCGUGGGAACGUACCCUUUACUACGGAAUAACGCAGGGAAACUUGUGCUAAUACCGUAUGUGCCCUUCGGGGGAAAGAUUUAUCGGUAAGGGAUCGGCCCGCGUUGGAUUAGCUAGUUGGUGGGGUAAAGGCCUACCAAGGCGACGAUCCAUAGCUGGUCUGAGAGGAUGAUCAGCCACAUUGGGACUGAGACACGGCCCAAACUCCUACGGGAGGCAGCAGUGGGGAAUAUUGGACAAUGGGCGCAAGCCUGAUCCAGCCAUGCCGCGUGAGUGAUGAAGGCCCUAGGGUUGUAAAGCUCUUUCACCGGAGAAGAUAAUGACGGUAUCCGGAGAAGAAGCCCCG
rnacentral:rRNA from 1 species